rnacentral:rRNA from 1 species
GAUGAACGCUAGCGGGAGGCUUAACACAUGCAAGUCGAGGGGCAGCAUAGGGUAGCAAUACUCUGAUGGCGACCGGCAAACGGGUGAGUAACGCGUAUGCAACCUACCCUGUACAGGGGGAUAACCCGGAGAAAUUCGGACUAAUAUCCCGUAAUAAUAUCCGGAGGCAUCUUUGGAUAUUUAAAGUUUCGACGGUACGGGAUGGGCAUGCGUAACAUUAGCUGGUUGGUAAGGUAACGGCUUACCAAGGCUAUGAUGUUUAGGGGUCCUGAGAGGGUGGUCCCCCACACUGGUACUGAGACACGGACCAGACUCCUACGGGAGGCAGCAGUGAGGAAUAUUGGUCAAUGGGCGCAAGCCUGAACCAGCCAUCCCGCGUGCAGGAAGACGGCCCUAUGGGUUGUAAACUGCUUUUCCAGGGAGAGAAACUUACGCACGUGUUGCGUGACUGACGGUACCCUGGGAAUAAGCAUCGGCUAACUCCGUGCCAGCAGCCGCGGUAAGAUCACGUG